CACCCCAACACCCAUAAACCUCAAUGCAGACCCCUCGAGGGAGGUCUGCAUUGAGGUUUUUGAGGGGGGGUCUGCUUUGAGGUUUAUGAGGGAGGUGUGCAAUGAGGUUUAGGGGGGGUGUGCUUUGAGAUUUAUGAGGGGGUGUCUAACACCCCCCCCCCCCCCCCAUAAACCUCAAAGCAAUCCCCCUCGAGGAAGGUCUGCUUUGAGGUUUAUGAGGGGGGGGGAAGAGUGUCUGCUUUUGAGGUUCAUGAGAGGGGGGUUAGACCCCCACCCCCCAUAAACCUCAAUGCCAACCCCCUCAAGGGGAGGUAUGCUUUGAGGUUUAUACCGACCCCCCUCAAGGGGAGGUAUGCUUUGAGGUUUAUACCGACCCCCCUCAAGGGGAGGUAUGCUUUGAGGUUUAUACCGACCCCCCUCAAGGGGAGGUAUGCUUUGAGGUUUAUGAAGAGUGUCUCCGCUUUGAGGUUUAUGAAGAGUGUCUCCGCUUUGAGGUUUAUGAAGAGUGUCUCCGCUUUGAGGUUUAUGAAGUGUGUCAGCUUUGAGGUCUAUGAUGGGGUGUAUGUGUGUGCUAUGUGGUGUAGAUGUAUGCUUCGAGAUAUGCUGGUAAAAGCCAAAGCAUUAUAAAGACGUAAGAACAAUGCUGUACAUAUGCCUUUGUUCUCACGUACAGUGUACAUCACACAGCUUUACUCGUGCAGAAUAAUACAGUAUUCAAUAAAUACAUCACUGUCUUAGGUCAGUUGCUUAAUUUAGAACCUGUAGUUGAGGUCGAUCCCAACCCAUUGUUGAUGUGACGACUUAUAUUGAAUUUUGUAACUAGCUCAUCAAGAUUGUAACUUGCUUAGCUAAAUGAACUGUGGGGUUCAGUCCCUGAGCCCAUUAUGUGCCUCUGUAACCCUUUCCACUACUGCCCACAAGAUGGGUAUGGGGUGCAUAAUAAAUGAACUAAACUAAAAAAAAAACUGUCUUAGACAUAUGUUGAUACAACAUUCAGUAAGAAUUCUACAAAAUUGAAAGUUUUAAGAAAAACUCACCAAAAAUUACGAGAGAAAUUAGGCCGAAUCUUCCCGAAUUAUGUCUUGCAAGCAGCGGCACUGUAUCCUGCAACACAAAUAAAUAUUUAUUCCACACGGUUCUUUAAUUUACAAGAAUGUUGUGUAAAAACUUGCUAGUGUACUCCCCAAUGUAUGGUUGUGUAGUAUUUCCCGGUGUAUGUCUUCAGAGUUUGGUAGACAUAACCUGAUAAAUAUAUUAAAAAAAUGUUGUUAGCCCACUAAUUGAACAUUUAACUAGCUAAACUAAUUUUUACAAUUAAGAUUCACAAUGAUUAUAAAAGCGUUAGUGGAAGAACAAUUUCCCAUAUGUAUCGAUAGUCCUAGAUUAGCUAGUCUUAAUAUUGUUAUAUAUAACCUAGUCAUAAUAAUUACAGGUUUACAGAUCAUUGUAGUCUUACUAUAGCUAUGCUAAUUGUGACUUCACUGUACACAAAUAUCUUUUUUAUAUAACUGUACCUGUAUAUUGCAUCAUCCAGUUAUUUUCAAAGUUACUACUGUAGAGUGAUUUUUUGUGUGAAUAAAGACUAUGAUUA
rnacentral:lncRNA from 1 species